UCAGACAGCACAGCCGCAGUGAUAUUCAGAUGAAAGGUCUUCUCUGUCCUGUCAUGAGAUGCAGAGAAACGAUUUCGAAACCUUGGUGGAAUGUCUGUCAUGAAUGACCAAGUUGUUAAAAUGACAAUAAAAAGAGUGCUUCGACUCACAAACGAGAGAGAGGAAAAUGAAUGAACGGCGACAAGGGAAGAGGAAGAAAGACCCGCAAGAUCGACCCGAUAUUGAUGGAUUAAGUAGGGGAGCAGGUGGACAAGAGUGUGGGAACAGAGCUG